rnacentral:rRNA from 1 species
CACGUAGGGUGCAAGCGUUGUCCGGAAUUAUUGGGCGUAAAGAGCUCGUAGGCGGUCUGUCGCGUCGGAUGUGAAAACCCAGGGCUCAACCCUGGGCCUGCAUUCGAUACGGGUAGACUAGAGUUCGGUAGGGGAGACUGGAAUUCCUGGUGUAGCGGUGAAAUGCGCAGAUAUCAGGAGGAACACCGGUGGCGAAGGCGGGUCUCUGGGCCGAAACUGACGCUGAGGAGCGAAAGCGUGGGGAGCAAACAGG